rnacentral:tRNA from 2 species
AGAUGGAUAGCUCAGUGGUAGAGUAUUACGGUCGUGGGUUCGAUCCCCACUCCAUCUU